rnacentral:tRNA from 1 species
UAGCUCAGUUGGUAGAGCAUCUGACUUUUAAUCAGAGGGUCGAAGGUUCGAAUCCUUC